AACGGUCUAUACCUGCGGUACCUGCGGAGGGAUCAUUACAGAGUUUAGGGUCCCUUGUGGGCCCGAACCUCCAACCCCCUUGGUGUCUACUACCCUGUUGCUUCGGCAGGCCCAAUGGGUACCUGCCGGAGCAUUAUGUGCAACAAUCUAUUUAUGAAUUGUUAGUCUGAACCUUCUGGAAAACAUAGAAUUGUUAAAACUUUCAGCAAUGGAUCUCU
rnacentral:misc_RNA from 1 species